ACACUGUUAAAUUGACAUUCUUGUUUUUAUUGGGUUGUCGCACACCGAACAAUGACUUCGUCAAAAUCUAAUAUACAUUACAACAAUAACAAACAACUGAACCCAAACCGAUUUUUAUGGAUUUGUUGUUUUUUUUUUCUUUGGAAUUCGUUGCUCUUUUGUUUUGUUUUGACUUGUCGUUGGCGAUUGUCAUUGUUAUAACUCGGGGACGAAAAAAACGAUUUAUAUUUCGAUUAUUUGCGCAAAGACAUAAUGAACUCAUAGCUUGGGAUUAUAGAAGGUGCUUUUGGAUUAAGCGAAUUUUGAAAGCGAAAAAGAUUCGAAAAUCAGCACGUGGUAAUGCAAAUAAAAACUUGUAUGCCAGUUUGGGUGUGUACAGAAGUUUGACAGAAAAGUGGGAAUUUCUACCCUCAUUCCCAAAGGGUUGUACCGUUGAUUUCGUUGUAAUAGUAAUAAAAGUUUUUAAUAAGUCUUCUUCUUUUUCAAUGAAUUGACAAUAGUAUAAACGACUUCUAUUAAACAUUAAAAUUGUUAUGAAAUGCUACUUGCUAUGGUAAAUUACAUAUAAAACAGGAAGCGAGAUAAAUGGCUUGCUCGCGGCCAUUACUGUUACUAGACAAGCAAAAGAGAGCUGUCAAAAAUACAUAAUAAAAACAAAGAAAAACUGUUUUACUAUUGACAACAAAGCUCUAAAACGAAAGUUCAUUGAUAUGGCUUUGUAAGAAUGCAUGUAUAAAUUUAUGCUUAUGUCUAUAUCACAGUUAAAACUUUUCAUAAAACGAGGGAAACGAGCGUUCAGGUACAAUAGAACAAUUACGAAAAUGGAAUCCUCUGUGGGCUACAGGUACUGUUUUCUGGAAGAAUAGUGGCACCAGUGAUUGGACUGGGUCGUAGUCAAUAUUUUCAUUUAGAAUUCCAACAGGAGAGGAGAGAAUGUGCUCGAAAAGCUUAGCCACGUUUGUCAAUAAACAAAUUGGACGAAAUCAGCUGCCGUUUCGCUAUUUGGUUUCUUUUUGAUUGGAACUAUUUUGGCUAUCUUCCAAUCGUCGGGGAAGUAACCGUUAUUAAUACAAUUGUUGUAUGGCGAUGUUAGAAAUUUAAGCGUAGAUUCUGGAAAUUUAUUUAUCUUAAAAUUUGUUGGGCAAUUGACGCUACCUUCUAUAAUUGUACAAUGUACAUGUGUGAGCAACGUGGUAUCGUAGACAGCGUUGACAGUUCAGACCAAAAUUUUUCCAGGCUACCAAAAUUGUAAACUAAGCAAAAUUUCCCAUCUGCCUUAAU
rnacentral:sRNA from 1 species